rnacentral:lncRNA from 1 species
ACUGUUUUCAAAGAAAACGCAAACAAAUUAUAACACAAGGAAGAAGAUGGGGUAAGUAAUGGUACCAGCGGCACAAGAACCAAGUUAGAUAACCACUAAUUAGUGAUAAAGUAAGGGUGCUGCUGUUUCCAAGGUUUAUUGGCUUUGCCGUAGAAGCAGCUUCCCCGCGAUGCAUAGAUGCUUCGAAAAUAAACGUUACUAUGCUGGCCGCGCAAACAAGCAAGGGCCGCGGCCGAAACAAACGUGCCACUCUGCUGUCCGCAGAAAUGUACAGAAAUUUUUUUAGUACCCGGUAAUUACAUCAAUAUGCUAACGCCGCCUCUCUCUUCGUGAAGUGUCGCAUGAGCACGUCAGCGCCAAUUAAUUCCUACGAAUGAGAUGUUCAGAAAAUAUUUCAGCCCACGACACAAAUUCUGUGACGAGCUUUCCUCUGUAAACGACGUAGUAGCCGUCACUAUGUAAAUAUAAUACGCGCGAAACGCUUCAUCUCUUUAGUCAUAUCGCUUCGAUUUCACCUGCAUCGAAACGCAUUCAGCUGGAGCUUCUACUUUCGUAUUGGUAUCCUACGUUUUUAUAUACCAAUGACAACUGCUCCUGCGGAAACACACAUGUCAAAUUUACGCAGACUUUGGGGACGAACAGGAUCUCUUACGUCGGUUUUGUGUCUGGCAUGAUAAAAUAAUAGAACGUAAUGAAAACCUUUUUUUUUUUCAGAAAAUGGCACCCCUGGUUCCUGUUUCGUAUUUUUUCAUACCUGAAGAUAACAUAGUGAAGAAUGUGUGUCAAGUUUUCGAAUCUACACGUCUAUACAAAAUGCAGAUGGUCCCUUGGUCUCCUUGAGGCACAAGUUGUCUUCUUACAACUCCUUUAUCUGACAAUAGCGUUACGUAUCUGCGUUUCCACAACCCACAAAACUUAGGAAGGUGUGACGUGCACUAUGUAGCUUCUUCGAGGCAGUAUGAGUACAUGAAUCUUUCUGUGAUUUGAAAACACCAAUUAAAGUGAACUUUAGUAAUCCUUGACUGGUGCAAUUCAAAGUGCCACGCGUCAGUUCAAGGGUGCUUUUGUGCGACCAACUUUAAAAAAGCUUGUAUACCACGCGUUCAGCUACGGUUAACAAUGUGCUAACAAAGCCAUGGCUGUUAGUAUGUUCUCUUUGAGCGCUGAACGCAUGGCAAUUAAGGCAUAGUUCUGAAGUCAAUCUUUUGUGGAAAGUGCCAGUUCAAAAUGUGCGCGUCGUAUAGGUCACCUUGAGCAAGAUUUGACGUAAAUGCAAUCGUCAGGUCAUUGUAAUAUCUGACGUCAUGGCAAAUUAUCUUAGUGGCGCAGUGUUCUGAGGUCACGACGACUUCUCACUGUGUCGAAGCAUGUGCACCGGCUUGUUCCUGAAAUUUGAAUUUUUGCGUGCGCUUACAACUUGGUCUCAAGUGGUUCUUGAUUUCGUUUUAGAGCCCAAGUGACGACGAUUGCGAGCACAUUCACUCAUACACUCCAUAAUUCUCCCGACUCCAAAACAGGUAACUGAAGUAUUCGUUUUGAAAGUAUUGAUGUCGAAUUGAAAACAAGGAAGACUCAAAAUCAAUGUUUAUAAUUAAAUAGCUUUAGUAACAAAAAAUACAAUACAGAAUAAUCAUGCAAAAAUGGUCCAAACAAGCAGUAACAUAUUCAAUGGUUAUGAAUGAAAAAAGUAGCACUUGUAAAUUACAUAACAAAAUAAACAUAUCGGCACGACCCAAAAAUAAUGAAAAGCAAAUGAUUAUUGAUAGAGAAAAGGCAUUAGUAAUGAGUUCAAAGAAUACACAAAGUCAGUUGGAUUUGAAGGUCACUGGGAACGUUACUGGCUCACAAAAAUAUAUCUCUGAAGCAAAGUAUGCUUUGAUGUCUGUGAUGUUACGCUUUCCCUGUUCACAGUACUAUUCUUAAAAAGUCCGCAUCUUAUUUUGAGUGCUAGCACAAUAAAAGUUCCCACUAUUAAUUAAAUAAGUUAAGCUUUAAAUUUAGGAUAUAUCUUAAUGAAGACACACGAUAAAGAUCGUCUUGCUAUAAAUAUAGUGAUUACAGUUUUUCUUUGUACACUGUGACUAGUACAACAUUGUGAACCCAAUUUCUUCUUUCUGUUUUUCGGUUCAAACAGCUGUCUCUUUGGUCUCAACAUCUAUUCGCGAUAGUUGUAUUAGCUGGCUGUACUUUGGAGUAUCAUGCAGAGUUCACAAAUAUCCUUUUCCGCAAUUUUCCGCAAGCGCGAUCCAACACAUGGCACAACCGCGUGAAUGUAAGCACAAGACGUCGGGAUGCACUGUAUCAGCAAGGACAGCUUUCAGAAGACAAAACUUGAGGAAAUGAACACUAAGCGCGUACUGAGACACUCCCGAUAAAGACGUUUUGAAGCGUCAAAGGUAGUCGGCGCUCCGCACAACAGACUUCUAAACUAUACUCAUCUAUCACACCAAUACAGUAUCGUCACCUCACACGAAUAAAAGCAGCGCUGUGCCGAUACGCCGAAGCACUAUAAAGGGUAGCAAGACAAUAAGACAGUAUACAAAACAAAAGAAAACCAGAAAAAAAAUAUUCACUAAACACUCAUUGCUUGCCUAAAUAACUUUUUUUUUUUUCAUCACAAACUAGUGGCGCCUCCCACGGGAAACGCGA